AUAAUAUUAAAUUAUAUUUAAAGAAAAACAUAGCGUUUGUACAACUAGUGCAUCGAAUAGUAGAAAAUUUUAGCAGAAAAUUAGAAACUUUUACACUUAGAUCCUUGUUUCAAACCAAACUUGUAAUCCGUUAUCAUAGCGUUUAUCGCCUAGAAGUCGGAUUGUGGAAAACGGUUUCGGAUUUGUUUGUUAAUCCACUCGAUGAUCCAAGAAACUGUGUGUGGAGCUUUCCCAUGUCGUCGCCUAUUUCUCCACCAUU
rnacentral:sRNA from 1 species